AGAGUUUGAUCCUGGCUCAGAUUGAACGCUGGCGGCAUGCCUUACACAUGCAAGUCGAACGGCAGCACGGGGGCAACCCUGGUGGCGAGUGGCGAACGGGUGAGUAAUACAUCGGAAUCUGCCUGGUAGUGGGGGAUAACGUUCGGAAACGGACGCUAAUACCGCAUACGUCCUACGGGAGAAAGCAGGGGACCUUCGGGCCUUGCGCUAUCAGAUGAGCCUAGGUCGGAUUAGCUAGUUGGUGAGGUAAUGGCUCACCAAGGCGACGAUCCGUAACUGGUCUGAGAGGAUGAUCAGUCACACUGGAACUGAGACACGGUCCAGACUCCUACGGGAGGCAGCAGUGGGGAAUAUUGGACAAUGGGCGAAAGCCUGAUCCAGCCAUGCCGCGUGUGUGAAGGAGGUCUUCGGAUUGUAAAGCACUUUAAGUUGGGAGGAAGGGCAGUUACCUAAUACGUGAUUGUUUUGACGUUGCCGACAGAAUAAGCACCGGCUAACUCUGUGCCAGCAGCCGCGGUAAUACAGAGGGUGCAAGCGUUAAUCGGAAUUACUGGGCGUAAAGCGCGCGUAGGUGGUUAGUUAAGUUGGAUGUGAAAUCCCCGGGCUCAACCUGGGAACUGCAUUCAAAACUGAUUGACUAGAGUAUGGUAGAGGGUGGUGGAAUUUCCUGUGUAGCGGUGAAAUGCGUAGAUAUAGGAAGGAACACCAGUGGCGAAGGCGACCACCUGGACUGAUACUGACACUGUGGUGCGAAAGCGUGGGGGGCAAACAGGAUUAGAUACCCUGGUAGUCCACGCCGUAAACGAUGUCAACUAGCCGUUUGGAGCCUUGAGCUCUUAGUGGCGCAGCUAACGCGUUAAGUUGACCGCCUGGGGAGUACGGCCGCAAGGUUAAAACUCAAAUGAAUUGACGGGGCCCGCACAAGCGGUGGAGCAUGUGGUUUAAUUCGAUGCAACGCGAAAAACCUUACCUACCCUUGACAUGCCAGGAAUCCUUGAGAGAUCAGGGAGUGCCUUCGGGAGCCUGGACACAGGUGCUGCAUGGCUGUCGUCAGCUCGUGUCGUGAGAUGUUGGGUUAAGUCCCGCAACGAGCGCAACCCUUGUCGCUAAUUGCCAUCAUUAGGUUGGGCACUUUAGCGAGACUGCCGGUGACAAACCGGAGGAAGGUGGGGAUGACGUCAAGUCCUCAUGGCCCUUAUGGGUAGGGCUUCACACGUCAUACAAUGGUCGGUACAGAGGGCUGCCAAAGCGCGAGCUGGAGCCAAUCCCUUAAAGCCGAUCGUAGUCCGGAUCGUAGUCUGCAACUCGACUACGUGAAGUCGGAAUCGCUAGUAAUCGCAGAUCAGCAUGCUGCGGUGAAUACGUUCCCGGGUCUUGUACACACCGCCCGUCACACCAUGGGAGUGGGUUUCACCAGAAGUAGGUAGCUUAACCUUCGGGAGGGCGCUUACCACGGUGAGAUUCAUGACUGGGGUGAAGUCGUAACAAGGUAGCCGUAUCGGAAGGUGCGGCUGGAUCACCUCCUU
rnacentral:rRNA from 1 species